AAAUAAUGCAAAGAAAACAAAUUUAUAUUCGUUUAGAAACAACAAUACUGAUGUUUUAACUCAGGAAGAGUUCAGGAAUCAAUAUCUGGUGGAAAAACCAGCAGUGCAGUAUUUUCCAAAGA